CGCAGCAGUCGGCCUCCGUGAUCGGCCUUACGCGCGCGUGGUCGUUCGUAGCAUUUCUCCUGUUACACGUAAACAACUGUAUUUCGCGCGUAUUGUCCAGUUUGAAUGUAACAACUUUAUACUUAUAAUUGGAACUAACUAUUGAUAUUAGAAGUGGUGCAUCAAGGAGCGCGAUGUGCGGCCACCACGCCGCCGCAUCCGCCGGCUGACCGUCCGCACACAUUCAUCCCACCACGUGUACUGUGGUGAGGGUGUGGUGCGCAAGGGGCGCGGACGGCGGCGGCGGGGCGGGGGCCUGCCCGCGACAUGAGGAGCGCGCGCACAGCCCGCCCCGGCCGCCAUGCAGCGCCUGCGCACCACAUUCAAACGGUCUCGCACGCCCACACCCGCCGACAUGAAGACGCAAAGCAGCCUCGAAGUGCCCAAGCAGGUCCGGUCGGCGUCAUUCGAUGAGAUACAAUUGGAGGCUGCGCGCGGCGCGGGCACCAGUGGAUUACUCUCUGUGCCGCAACCCGGCGCGCGCAGCCGUUCCUUUGACUCCGCCGGCUCAGACGACUCUGGCACUUAUUUAGAAGUCCCUCGAUUAUGGUCAAGACGUCGGUCAGGCAAAGGUACUCCGCCACCAUGCGUUCACUGUCGACAUAUGGAGACAUGGCUCGCCCGCCGUAGCGAAGAACGUGUCACGCCGGAACGACCGCUCGCCUCGUCUUCUGCUGAGGAUGAAGAUGAUGAAGAUGAAAGUGAAUCUGAAGCCCCACGAGUAUUACUCGCACCACCUCCACCCCCCAGAACUAUAAAGCCACCACCGCCACCACAAUCACCACCUCCGUCACCUGGCGCCCCUUCUUUUGAACUCCAACCUCCGAGUGAUGAGCCACCUAUCUUGCCACAACGACGUCGCUCCAUAUCGAGACAGGAAGCCUUUUUUGUGGAACCCACAGGCAGUUCUUUAGAAAACGUAAGAGCUUCAGAAGAAGGCGCGACUAGUACCACAAGAGAUACACUUGUUCACGACAUUUACUUAGCUGUACCUGAACUUAAACGUGAUCGUGCAGCGUCAGUGGACUCUUGCUUCUCAAAAGUAUCCGGCGGUGCAAGAGCAGAGGAAAUCAAUGGCACUGGAAACAAUUUGACAGUACCGGGGACAGGAUUACGGUCGAGAUCAGUGGACAUCGUUUUACCGACAGCAGAACAGUCUCGUUACAAAGCACUAGCGUUAACUUCUGUGCAAGUGCCGCCACCGCCGCCAACACAGCUUCAGGAACCAGAAGAAAAUAUUUCUGCAGCACCAGUUCAACCCGAGAGACGUAGUGGAGACGGGGGCGGCGCCCGAGUGCUCCGCUCGACACCGGACUGGAGUGACAGCGCUGUUGGCGGCGAACAUCUCUGGUCACCCACAUCUGUGUCAGGAGAUUGCUGUUAUGUCGGCGAUGCCGAAUGUCAGAAACACGGAUCCCGUAUGAAAUGCUCGGCAUGCAAGAUCGUCGCGCACACUGCUUGCAUCGAUAUACUUAUGGAUCGAGUGCAAUUCACUUGCAAGCCCACAUUUCGUGACGUGGGCGUGAGACAGUACCGCGAGCAAACUAUCACCCACCAUCACUGGGUGCACCGGAGGUCAGAAAAGGGCAAGUGCAAGGCUUGCGGGAAGUCAUUCCGGCGCAGUUGCUGUGGGUCGUGCAUAUCAAGACAAGAGUCUAUAGACAAGCCCUUACGUGUAAACAAUGAAAUUUCGGACCGCUCGCUGCAAGCCAAACUAUCUUUCAGCUCGAAAGAAAUCGUGGCUCUGAGUUGCUCUUGGUGCAAAGAUGCUUAUCACAACAAAGAAAGUUGCUUCAAUCUUCAGCGGAUAGGAGAAGAAUGCUCAUUGGGUUCACAAUCCAACAUUAUUGUGCCACCAUCAUGGAUUGUGAAGCUGCCAAGGAAGGGAAGUUUCAAAUCUUCAUUAAGAAAAUCGCCGAAAAAAAAAAGUGCAUCAAAAAAGAAAAGCAAAGACUCAAAGAAUGAGCAGAAAACAUUUGUGAUAAAGCCAAUACCAAGUGUGAACGUGAGACCGGUGUUAGUUUUUAUAAAUCCCAAGAGUGGAGGAAAUCAAGGUGCCAAACUCCUACAGAAAUUUCAAUGGCUGCUGAAUCCUCGACAAGUUUUUGACCUAACUCAAGGAGGACCUGGACCUGGACUGGAAUUAUUUCGCAAAGUCCCUAAUCUGCGGGUGCUGGCAUGUGGCGGUGAUGGUACCGUGGGCUGGGUUCUGAGUGUGCUAGAUCGUAUCGCUGCGAGGCCUGCUGUUGGUGUGCUGCCGUUGGGCACUGGCAAUGACCUGGCCAGGGCACUUGGCUGGGGCGGGGGUUAUGAAGAUGAGCCGAUAUCGAAGAUUCUAGCAAAUAUCGGUGAAAGCGACACAGUGUUACUAGACCGAUGGCAACUUACUGUGGAACCUAACACGGCAACAGCAGGGGAGGACACAAAGAACGCGAAACCAGAAUUACCACUCAAUGUCGUCAAUAACUACUUUUCGUUUGGAGUCGACGCUCAUAUUGCUCUUGAAUUCCACGAAGCAAGAGAGGCACACCCAGAGAAAUUCAACUCGCGUAUAAGAAAUAAACUGUUCUACGGCACGGCCGGUGGUAAAGACCUAAUGCAGAGGAAGUGGAAGGGCCUCGCCGAGUUUGUUACCAUGGAGUGUGACGGCAAGGACCUCACGCCAGUACUCCGGGAGCACAAAGUUCACGCUAUUGUUUUUUUAAACAUUCCAAGCUACGGGGGUGGAACUCACCCCUGGAACAAAUCAGGAGGAUCAUUUGAACCUUCGACUGAAGAUGGCCUAAUAGAAGUAGUAGGAUUAACGACAUAUCAAUUGCCGCUACUGCAAGCUGGCGGGCACGGUACCUGUAUCACACAAUGCAAGACUGCCAAGAUUGUCACCACGAAGGUGAUACCCAUGCAAGUGGACGGCGAGGCAUGUAGGCUCGCGCCUUCAAUUAUUACACUGUCUAGACUCAACCAGGCCACUAUGUUGGCUAAAAGGAAACCAGGAAGAACUAUAGCACCUCAAACCACGGUGGACAAGUUGACAUUCACAGUGAAUCUCAUUACCAUGGCCGAUUACGAAAGGCAUCAUUAUGAUAAGGAAUUACUCGCCAAAACAGCGGAGCGUAUUGGGACUCUUGAAGUAAACCCAACAGCUGAUUUGGAACAAAUGCGCACUCUCAUACAGAACGUAAUCAAAGAAUCUCAAGCAUACUCUAAUCUCAUCGACUGGUGGUUUGUUGACUCCGUCACAGCGGAACGUUUCUUCCGCAUCGACAAAGCUCAAGAAAAUCUCCACUAUCCUACGGAUAUCGGCCACGAAAACAUAUAUAUAUUAGACACAGCACCUUUGACACCGGACACUGAGUCGACUGCGCCCCCAGACACCACCGCCACGGCAUCGUUCGACCGCACCGGACCGUCCGUGUCGCUGGACACCACUACUGGGCUGUCAGUGUCGCUCGACAUAUCGCAAAGUGUCGACACGCCCAGUGCUGGAGUAUCACUGGACGUUCCCGAAUCGCAUGCCAGUGAAUCGGGUCUCGGCAGUCCAGCACGAACAUCAGAAGAAUUCCUAAGUCCACAGACACCGCCUCCUGUCACACCUGCAGCACCAGCGCCCAAAACCCCUACUCCUAGUACUCCGAAAACAACGUCCCCACAACCUCCUUCCCCAAAAAUUAUAUCAACCUCAAUACAGGAAUCAAAUUCUCCUCCUCUCUGCACGAGUCCGCCGGCUAAAGAGCAUCGGCCAACCCACGACUCGAUAGCACGAUUCAAAACGUUCACCGCACACGUAUGACCUCUAAAGCACGGCGCACACUUGUCUCGGGAUUGAAAUCUGCACUCUAUUUCUUCUCUCUUCUAUUGCAUGCAGCAUACAUGAAAAACUGUUUGGACUUGACCAAGAAGUGUUUGGCUAUAGGAAUUUAUUAGAGAAAACAUCUGACUCACUUCUCAAGGCUGCUAAAGUCGGCGACCUGAAAUUG
rnacentral:misc_RNA from 1 species